rnacentral:lncRNA from 1 species
GCCCCGCUACGCUGCAGCUGGAGCGACCGCCACGGCCAGUCCCGCAGACCGGGGAGGAGGAGGAGGAGGGGAAGCCGGGGAGGGAGGCGCAGAGAGGAGGGUUGGAGCCGGGAGGAGGAAAUAAAUAAAUAAAACAAUAACCUCCGCGCCAAUAAGAGCGAGGGAGAGAGCAAGACGCGACCAGAAAGCCACCGGGGCCCGCUCGCGCGCCUCUGAGAGGCUGUCCGCGCGCGCGCGUGUGUGCGUGAGUGUGGAUUUGCCGGGACUGGAGCUGGAAAGUUCAAACUAAACGUGUUGCUCUCGCCGGGUGCCGAGGCCGCGGCGGAGGCUGCCCAACUUCCCCGGGCCAAGUGAGUGGCGUUGCCCAGCGCCUUUGGCGAGGCGGCGGCCGCUCGGCCCUGCGCCCGGGCGAGGCGGCGGCGACGGCGGCUCCGCUCGCCCCGGGAGGGAGCCCGCGGCCAGGGCUGGACGCUCGCCCCGCCACCUCCACCGACUCUCUCUCUCCUCAGCCUCUGCGCCUGGCACCGCAGCAAGCAGGCCAUCACAGCAGAAACAUUAGGAAGAUAUGUGAAAAUAAACCCAGAGCUCAGAGAAGAGGACUGCAGAAGGCAUGGCUGUAAUUUAGGAAUUACUUACACACCUGUCUGUCGCGGGACAAAUCAUGAUAAUGCAUGAAUUCUCAAAAUCUGAUAUGAAAAAUAUGAUACAUCCUUGAAUAUUUUCAUAGUCAAUUGUAAGUAAUCUUGAAUGUGAGUCUCAGUUUUUCCACUUGCUGCAGUUUGGAUAUAGUACUCACGUUCCUCAUCGAGGACCUGGGAAAAAUCUAAGACUGUCCUCCUCUUUCAAGGAAAAAUAGUAGAGAACAUGACUGAACCAGGAACUGAGGCAUGAGUCACAGAAGGCCUAUGGAAUAUAAAGGAUUAAUAUUCAGUGAGUACUUACCAUGUGUUAUACACCCCUCUAUGAUUUCCAAUGUGUUUACUCAUUUAAUCCUAAAGAAAAUUCUGUGAGUCAUGCUGUCAUUAGCGUCAUUUUACAGAUGAGGACGUUGGAGCACAGGGAACUUCAUACACAUGCCAGGGUCCCUGUGGUGAGUGGCAUGAGAUCCUGGACAGCCUGACUCCAAGUCUGAGCUCUGAACCCUUACUGACUCUAAAGCAGUAAAACUACAUGUGAAAUGUCUGUGUUAGGAAAAUGGAAAAGGAAAUCAACAAUCAAAGUAAAAUCAGUAUCCUGGGCAGUACAUUGCCUUAGAAGAAUAAAAGAACAUUUCCACUGAUAUGGUCCUUAGGGGAAUGAUUUUGAAUCCCAGGGAGAACAUUAGGCAAAAGAGAAAAAUUAGGAACGUUAAGAGCAGUUUGCAUUCGAGAUAUCAAUGAAGCUGCCUAAGGAAAGACGAUUCGUUUUUCACAGAGUAUCUUUGUACUUUGAGUCAAAAGAAAUAAUGGACCACAGAGUUUUUAAAAAAAACCUAUAGCAGUAGUUUAAUUAUAUUUUAAUGAUAAUAACAAAUAUACUAAGAUAUAUUAAACACUGAAUAAUGUAGGCAGUUUAUCAGCUGGUUAUACAUACUGCAUUUUUUUAAGUAUACAUUGUAUACCUUAAGGGUAAGAAACCUGUCUUCGGCUUUUCUUUCAUGCUUAUAAUGUCGGACAUAUUUUGCUCAUUCUAUAGUGGAUGCUCGCUGACUUUAUUAGUUGAUUGAAUAUUUGGAUAACAUAGUUCCUUUACUAUUUUUAAAGACUCUGUGAAUGUAGUAUAAUUUUAUUUUGCUUACAAAUAUUUUACUCUAAUACAAUACUGCAAAUAUUUAAAAAGUCUUCCUAUGAUUCUUUGAUUGAGCUAUUCAUUCAUUUAUUCUUCCAUUCAUUGAACAUAUAUGACAAGCACCAAAUCCCAUCUUCUUUUUUUUUUUUUUUUUUGAGACAGAGUCUCGCUCUGUCGCCCAGGCUGGAGUGCAGUGGCGCGAUCUCGGCUCACUGCAAACUCCGCCUCCUGGGUUUACGCCAUUCUCCUGCCUCAGCCUCCCGAGUAGCUGGGACUACAGGCGUCCGCCACCACGCCCGGCUAAUUUUUUGUAUUUUGUAUUUUUAGUAGAGAGGGGGUUUCACUGUGUUAGCCAGGAUGGUCUCGAUCUCCUGACCUCGUGAUCCCCUCGCCUCGGCCUCCCAAAGUGUUGGGAUUACAGGCGUGAGCCACCGCUUCCGGCCCAGAUCCCAUCUUCUGUCAUCUAUGCAAGGCAAUCAGUGUGCAACUCUCUGAUCUCAUUGUUUCAUUUUCUUCUCUGUUCUUACAUGUCAUUUUUACCAGAUGUUAUUUCUUACAUACAAAACAAGUAUUUUCUUAGCCCCACUUUCCCCUCCAGUUACUGCCCCAUAUCUUCAUUCCUCUUUUCAGCACAAUGCCUUGUCUGAGUUCUCUUAGCAAUGAUCAUUAAUUACCUUGCUGUCAGCUUCUAUUUGGUGCACAUCAAUCAGAUUUGCCACACCGGUCUCUACAAAUUCCGAAUGUAAAGAAGCACCAACAACUGCAACACUGCCAAGUCUAAAUGUCACUUCUUGGUCCACAUCUUAAUUGCCCCAUCUGGAGCAUUUGACCUGGUUGUUUCAUCCUAUCUCACUGGUCACUCCUGCUAGGUCUCCUUAAAGGAUUUUCCUCUGCUGACAUGUGGAUGUUGGAGUGCACCAGGGCUACAUCCUUGGAACUCAUGACACUGGAAAUCUAACAAGUCUCUUGAAAGAACUAUCUCACCAAUUCAAAAGAAGCAACUGUUUUGUGUCCAACUAAGACUGAAAGUAGAAGCUUUCUUAUAGCAGAAAAGAUUUCUUGCUUGAUCUCAAAGAGAACUUUUGAAAAGAAGGAGGGUAUAGAGAGGAGGCUGUCUGGGAGAUGAGCAAUUUGAUAAAAGAGUGAUCUGGGGAAUCAUCCCCAUACUUCAGUCUCAGUAUAGAAAUGACCCUGAACUGGUAGGAAAGGACAAGUGCAGCUUGGAAGGGAGUCUGCUCAAAUAACUGUGUCUCUUCAGACUUACAUUUGUCAAAUAAAUCUUAGUAUAGUUUCUAGGCUCAUAAACUUGGCAAAACCUAAGGUUCUAUAAGUUUAUAUUUGUGUGUGUGUGUGUGUGUGUGUGUGUGUGUGUGUGUGUGUGUGUAGAGAUGUAAUCUGUAGACAUAGGCAUGGUGAGGUAAAUAAAUUGACUAUAGCACAUAGAAUAGUUAUUACAUGAUGGGUAUUUCAUGAAUUGACUGAUCUGUUCUAUAAAACAGGGGUCCUCAACUCCCGAGCUGUGGACCUGUACCAGUCCUUGGCCUAUUAGGAACCAGGCUCCACAGCAGGAGGUGAGCAAGCAUUACUUCCUGAGCUCCGCCUCCUGUCAGAUCAGCAUUAG